AUUGAACGCUGGCGGAAUGCUUUACACAUGCAAGUCGAACGGCAGCACGGACUUCGGUCUGGUGGCGAGUGGCGAACGGGUGAGUAAUAUAUCGGAACGUGCCCAGUCGUGGGGGAUAACGUAGUGAAAAUUACGCUAAUACCGCAUACGAUCUAAGGAUGAAAGCGGGGGAUCGCAAGACCUCGCGCGAUUGGAGCGGCCGAUAUCAGAUUAGGUAGUUGGUGAGGUAAAGGCUCACCAAGCCAACGAUCUGUAGCUGGUCUGAGAGGACGACCAGCCACACUGGAACUGAGACACGGUCCAGACUCAUACGGGAGGCAGCAGUGGGGAAUUUUGGACAAUGGACGCAAGUCUGAUCCAGCCAUUCCGCGUGCAGGACGAAGGCCUUCGGGUCGUAAACUGCUUUUGUACAGAACGAAAAGGUCUCUAUUAAUACUAGGGGCUCAUGACGGUACUGUAAGAAUAAGCACCGGCUAACUACGUGCCAGCCGCCGCCGUAA
rnacentral:rRNA from 1 species